UCUUAUCAAAGAUUUACUUGCAAGUUAGUUUUGCUCUAUUUCAAGUGUACAAAGAUAUUUGCAUUAGAAACGGGUAAAUGGUAAGAUUCGGUAUUUUUGCAACAUAAUUAGCAACAAUUAGCACAUUAUCUGAAAGAAAUCUGAAAUUGAAGUAAAAACAGUGACAUAGGAAAGCCGUUUCCUACAUCAAGGUGAACUAUCUAUCAUAUCAUCCAAGGUAAACUGAACAUUCCCAGCACUUCGUGUGGCCGACGCAAGGUUAGAGAAGAACCAACAGAGUAACAGCGCGUCCUUGCAGCUGUAACAUGCGGCCAGUUAAACAGCAGUGAUGAAAAACGAAAGCUCACACGGGAAGCUGAAUCAUCUUGAUGUCUGAUCUAAUCUCCUCUCAUUAGAUUUAGUGAUCGGUUGAGGGCUCCCAGGGGUCACAUGCAUGAAGACAUUGCUUACAUGUAGUUGUCACAUGUUUUAUAGCUGCUUGUUAACAGUCCCUCUGACUGCUGGCCAUCCUUUGACCCUUGCUGAAGCCUUGACGACUGCUGCGGACCACACAGAUUCGUCUGAGCAGUGUAAAUCCCAGAGAGCAGAGCGGCAGCUCCGCGGCCUGCCUGUACACGUCCUGCUGUGGGCUGCUGUCACCACACCUUCAGCUCCCAAACAGCACAAUUAUCCUGCACCCAGUGACAGAGUUCAAGGCAGCUUGAGCUGUUUGGCAUGGCUUUAAUUUGACUUCCACUGAUGAAUCUGUCAACAGCGUCAGUUAGACCGUCUGCAGCAAGAUCCCGACGCAAACACGAGAGGGCCGUUAUAAAUCUCACAAGGUCGCCGUCACCAGGAAACGUGCGACGUCUACAGCAGACGUUUGUGUCAGCGGUGAUUUGUCAGCUAAUAAUGGAUCUCUGCGGCAGGUAAUGGAAAUGAAUGGCAGCAGAGAAUGGAGCGGAGCCUGAAGAGGAAUGCAGAAAGUGAGCUAAACACCUCCCACAGGUCUGCUGGGAGAGCAGGCACACACAUGUGGCCCAACCGACCGGCUCCCAGGACCCGGGAGGAGGCGACACGCCGGCCCAGCAGGGACUCACUGCUUUACGCCUCUAGUCUAGUACAAACCUCAGCUUCAUCCACAGGCAGGAUGUAAUACUUAGAAAUGAUUUACAUUUCUAUAAAGGACAAUUUCAAAACAAAGAGUUUCUAGCUUCUUUGUUUUUCAUCCUAAACAUCCUCUCUGUUUCUAAUAAAGGCACAAAGGUGUGUUUUUCUUCAGAAACCCUCAGUAUCUGUCUCCAUUACGGAUCCAGUUCUAUGUGAUGUAUUUAAAGAAAACUAUCAAAACAAUCACAUUUGUCUUUAGUAAAGGAACAGCUUGUGUGAGUA